rnacentral:rRNA from 1 species
UACAGAGGGUGCGAGCGUUAAUCGGAAUUACUGGGCGUAAAGCGUGCGUAGACGGUUAUUUAAGUCGGGUGUGAAAGCCCCGGGCUCAACCUGGGAAUUGCAUUCGAGACUGAAUAGCUAGGGUACGGUAGAGGGAAGCGGAAUUUCCGGUGUAGCGGUGAAAUGCGUAGAUAUCGGAAGGAACAUCAGUGGCGAAAGCGGCUUCCUGGACCAGCACCGACGUUCAGGCACGAAAGCGUGGGGAGCGAUCCGG